ensembl:lincRNA
CCCGGCUUCAGGGUCACAUUGCUCUAUUAUUCCUAUGCUUCUGUAUCCACUGCAUGUCUACCCAUCCUGUGGGUAUCUUGGUCACCUGCCAGACUACCCUCUCCCUGACCUUCUCCCUUCAUGACCAAUUAUCCCUCUUACCUGAAUUUGUGAUAACCAACAUCCUCAACCAGGAUGUGCCUUAAUGUUCUCAAUUCCCUCUACAGUCCGUUCUUCCCUGGAACAGACUUCGGGGAACUUUUAAAACUUAACUUCAUUCACAACCCUCGAUGGUGCCUAGGGUCCUGAGAAUGAAGGUACAACUCCUCGGUCGCCACUCCAAGCGCGACUCCUGACACGGUCUGCUCCCAGCAGACACAGGGCGGACUCCAGCUCUCCUGAAAGCUCGCAGCGCAGCCGCGCCUCCAGGACCUCACCCACUCCCUCAUCUCACCACAGCGCAGCACUCCUAGGACCAAACCAAAGGAACCACGCAGAGAGUACAAGCCACCCCCCGCAGAGAAGCACGCCGGAAGUCCCGCCACGCCACGCUGCGCUCGUCUGGAAGCGUCCCUUCCGGCCAGCGCUCCACCUCUGGUAAGGGGCAUUCUGGGAGUUGUAGUUCUUAGCGGUCUCUGGUGGCCCAGAGGGCCUCCACGCUGCCCCAGCUCCUGAGAAAAUGUAAGUUGACCCCAGGGGCUCUGAGCAAGGCCUGCACCAGCCCCAGCUGGACAAGAGAGCCUCCGCUUCCUCGUAAAGACACCACAGGCAGGCUCCACAACACUGACUGUGCUCCUGGGGAUCAGUCUACACUUCAGGAGCUCCCCAAAGCUGCAGACCAUGUGGACGUAUUCCUAGAGUCAUUCAGACACAAAAUGCCCCAAUGAUAGCUGGAAGUUUUUAAAUAUUCUGUUAUAGUUUGUAUUAGUCAGGGUUCUCUAGGGAAACAAAAUCAACAAGAGAUAUGUCAAUAGUUUGCGAUUCUGUAAGAGUCUCUCACAUGACUGUGGGGAUGCACAAGUCCAGGUUCCACAGGCAGGCUGCAAGCAGGGGCUGCAGUGAAAGUCCAGUGAAAGUUCUUGAUGAGUUCUGAAAGAUGUUGGCUGUCCAAAGACGAGCUGGGAAAUUCUCUCUCAAUGCUGGAAUCACUUCCCCUUUUAAGGCCUUCAACUGAUUGGCUAAAGCAUCACUCAUUGCUGAUGGUAAUCUCUGAUUGAUGUAAUUAUAACCAGCUAUCUAUGAUUUACCACUGUAAUAAAGUUGUGGAGAAGUAGGAGCCUGUGACCACCCCCACCCAAGAGGAAAAUUACACAGCCCCCUAACUGCAUAUAUCUCGCUUCUGUAACAAGCUUGCUCGACUGUAAAACCUUAUCUCAAGGCCUCCUCCUAUAGAAAGUGUCAUCAGCCUCUAGACCAACCUGACUCAGACCCUUAAAAAUAACAAAAACUCCCGAAACACUUAUCUCCCCUGAUAGAAUUCCCAGCGCUUGAUUAACCGCAAACACCUGCUUCUGUACAUGCCUGCUUGCUGAGCUAUUGCCCCCUGCCCUGAACCUAAAGGCCUAUAUAAGCAAACUCCCCACCCCGUGACUCGGGGCUGCUCUCCCCUCUGCGUAGGACGAGGCAGUCGCCGCGCGGCUAAUAAAGCUCUCAAUU